rnacentral:rRNA from 1 species
GUGGAAGGAUCAUUAC